GUUUUGUGAUGAUCCCCAUGCGUGUCAACUGAUCCCAGACUCACUGCAGUGCUCAAUGUCUGUUAAGCGUUUUGCUUGGCAGUGCAUUUUGAGCCUGUAGGACUCUGGGAACAUGAUCAUAACUUGAGUCUGAAAAC